rnacentral:ncRNA from 1 species
UGUGAUGGACCCUGCUCUGAUGUGCACGUCAACAGGUGGACAGUAAACUAUGUCCAAUCAAA